rnacentral:rRNA from 1 species
UACGUAGGGGCCUAGCGUUGUCCGGAAUUAUUGGGCGUAAAGAGCUCGUAGGCGGUUCGGCAAGUCGGAUGUGAAAUCUCCACGCUUAACGUGGAGGGGCCAUUCGAAACUGCCGUGCUCGAGUGUGGGAGAGGUGAGUGGAAUUCCCGGUGUAGCGGUGAAAUGCGUAGAUAUCAGGAGGAACACCGGCGGUGUAGACGGCUUUCUGGACCGUAGCUGACGCUGAGACACGAAAGCGUGGGUAGCAAACAGG